GAUGAAGAACGUAGCGAAAUGCGAUAAGUAAUGUGAAUUGCAGAAUUCAGUGAAUCAUCGAAUCUUUGAACGCACAUUGCGCCCGUCAGUAUUCUGGCGGGCAUGCCUGUUCGAGCGUCAUUACGCCCCUCAAGACCCCUGUGGACUUGGUGUUGGGGAUCGGCGAGGCUGGUUUUCCAGCACAGCCGUCCCUUAAAUUAAUUGGCGGUCUCGCCGUGGCCCUCCUCUGCGCAGUAGUAAAACACUCGCAACAGGAGCCCGGCGCGGUCCACUGCCGUAAAACCCCCCAACUUUUUAUAGUUGACCUCGAAUCAGGUAGGACUACCCGCUGAACUUAAGCAUAUCAAUAAGCGGAGGA
rnacentral:misc_RNA from 1 species